ensembl:lncRNA
CAGUGCCAGGCUCCCACCCGCAGCACUUGUGUGAGUGUGAAGUGACACCAUACAGUGCCUGAGGGCUGUGGAGAUGGCCCUGGGUGCAACACCACAUGGGUCAGGUGUCGGCCUGGCCUUGCACUGGGCAUAGGCUUUGGGGGUCUCUCAUUUGGAAGCAUGCGGUGGGGAAGCUGGCCCCAAAGUGCAACCAACCUUCAGCCUGAUUUGAUUUUCCUUCCUCUCCGCUUUCCUCAUUCUGAAGUGAUGACAGAGAAAAAGCUGUGACCAAAGGGGGAACAGAGCCCCAGACCCACGUCUGCCCCACACCUGUGCCACUUCAGAGGCUGCAAGGCAUCACGCUCCAUAACACAAGGAAGCCCAUCACCUUCUCCACCCAUCUAUGGCUGCUGAGAGCCCCCCAGGCCUGCGACCCACACUUCACCAUUCCUCUUCUGCCCGGCUGGGGCAGCACUGGAGGAGGAAAACAGGGCAGGGGGAACAACGACAACAACGAAGAGAUUUUCCCAGCGCUGCUGAGCAGGAGAAGCCUGCAAUGGACACCUCCCUACAUCCAGCCCCGAGCAGCAGGAGAGGAAUGCUCAUCUGGAAGGGUAGGGAUGCUCCUUCAUAGGAUAAGAAGAGGGGAGAUGGGUGUGAGCACAGCUGCUGGGAGCAUCAGGCCAACAGCAUGAGCUCUCCCUCCACAAAGAGCCUUCCCGUGAACCUUUGCUGAAAACACUGAUUUCUUUUGCAAAGUGGUUUUGUCGAUGGCUUCCCUCAUCAUCACAGGGCUGCCGGAGCCCACAGCCCUGUCCAGAUGGGAGCACACCUGGAACGCACAGGUCUCUGCCUUCCAGAUCCUGGCCCAAGAAGCCACCCUACUCACUCAUUUUGUGCUAACAAGGAGCAGCACUCCGGGCAGCACCAGGCUGCAGAGACCCAGCACAGCCUCUCCUGACCCAGCCAAGGGCACCCAGCACCCCAGCAGCCUCCCAGCAGUGAGCCUGGAGGAAUCCGAGUGUUUGGGAAGGAAAGCAGAGCUACAGAGAGACAAUGUUGAAUGUAAAUAUCAGUUAAAUAUGCAUUACCAUA